rnacentral:ribozyme from 14 species
CAAACAAACAACCAAACAAACAAAAAAAGAAAAAAGAAAAAAGAAAAAGAAAAAGAAUAACAGACACAGAAUAAGCACCUUCCAUUG